GACGAACGCUGGCGGCGUGCUUAACACAUGCAAGUCGAACGGAAAGGCCCUGCUUGCAGGGUACUCGAGUGGCGAAAGGGUGUGUAACACGUGGGUGAUCUGCCCUGCACUUCGGGAUAAGCCUGGGAAACUGGGUCUAAUACCGGAUAGGAGCCAUUUUGAGUGUGAUGGUUGGAAAGUUUUUUCGGUGUAGGAUGAGCUCGCGGCCUAUCAGCUUGUUGGUGGGGUAAUGGCCUACCAAGGCGGCGACGGGUAGCCGGCCUGAGAGGGUGGACGGCCACCUUGGGACUGAGGUUCGGCCCAGACUCCUACGGGAGGCAGCAGUGGGGAAUAUUGCACAAUGGGCGCGAGCCUGAUGCAGCGACGCCGCGGGGGGGAGGACGGCCUUCGGGUUGUAAACGCCUUUCGCUAGGGACGAAGCUUUUUGUGACGGUACCUAGAUAAGAAGCACCGGCUAACUACGUG
rnacentral:rRNA from 1 species